AUGAACCCAACUGCAAUCGAUCAGCCGCGGGUGGCCGCCGUAGUGAUCGGAUCUGCGACGUGGGGUGGGACAGGGGUGCCCGUGCAAAUUCGCAGGCCUGACUUACAGAGGUUGACGCCCUGUUACCGGCACCACGAAUGUGCUCAAGGCCGCCUCUGCCGCAAAUGUCCGAUGAGUGGUCGUCGUGACGAGCUACAAAGGAACUUUGUGACCCCAAAGACUGGCCCCAAGGCAAGAUCAGAGACGAGAGCUCUUGGUCAGACAAAGAAUUCUGUAGGAGCAAUGAGAGCUGGUACCCUGUUGCCAAGAUCACGGCAGAAGCGGCGGCUCUGGAGUACGGGCGUGAAACCGGGCUCGACGUGGUGA
rnacentral:rRNA from 1 species